GGCAAAGUUGGUCAGGCAAACAUUUAUUUCCCAGAUGGCAGUGCAAGGUCAACCACAAUGUUGUUGGUCUGGAGUCACACAUAUGCCAGACCAGGCAAAAUGCUCCUCCACUGAUUCAGAGGGACAGAAGAGACCACUGGGAAUCAACUGCUAAAUAAAAAAGAAAGGCUCUUAUGUCCUGAAAAUAGCCCAAUAACAGACAAGAGAUGGAAUGAACCUGAAAGAAGACAACUCAGCUGCUAAUAUGGUUAUUUUGCUUAUUUUGACAAGUACAGUAGAAAUGGAAACUGACAGCAGCAGAUCCAUUUUCUCAGAGAUUUGGAGAACCUACUGAAAUGCAACAGUGAGCCAUUUUUUUUUGUGUUUAUUCGGUUAAUUUUGGCUUUCUGAAUACAUUAAAUAUAGGCAACUAAUUUAACUGCAUGAUUAGGAUUUAUGGAAGGAAAAAUUGUCAUGUAAACAUAGAAGAUAUUUCAGCCUUUUAAGUCAAUUGAAUUUUUCCAAUAAUGUUGUGGAGAUCAAUGAAUCUUGUCCACAUUCUUAGUUAAUUCUGUCCAUGAAUAUUAAAUUCAAAUAUUAAAUUAGAAAAGGAUGAACAUUUUCAUAAUUGGUUCCUGUGCUAGGUUCCUAAUAUGUUAUGACUCCAGAUAGGACACCCCAAAAUUGUAGAGUUUGUGGCAUAAUACACAAGUCUUCUGACUCAGAGGCAACAGCUCCACCAGUCACAGUUAACAGUUGGUUUUUGUACUAGUCCAACAACUUGUUUGCUCAUUUAUUUCCUAUUGCUAGCCCCUAAAUUAUCUUAUUCAGUAUAUUUAUUUUCACAAAUUCAUAUUCGACUUGAUUUCAUAAUCACUAGAUUGCGAGUUAGGUGUCAUAGUCAUUUCAAUAUCUAGCUUUGAAAUGAGUGCUAACUGUGAUUAUUUUAAUGUAAUCUAAAUAUUUUAGAAUGGAGAAACAUUGAAAAUGUGAUCCAGCCUAAUCCCAUUUCUCCAUCUUGAAUGGAGGUAGCAGCACUUCAAGUGCACAUCCAAGUAUUUUUUAAAUGCAUUCUAGCUCUGGCAACCUUUCAGGCUUAGAAAGGGAAGCAUCCCCUAUGCCUUCUUAAGAACAAUAUUUACUUAAUUUUGUUUUCUCACAACGCUUCUAAUUUAAAUUUUUCUACUUCUGUUACAGUAGUCAAGGCCUGUAGGGAGAAUACAUUAGAUUAGACUUUACUUUGAAAAAGUGUGUUUCAGUUAAACUAAUUUCCAUUUCACAGCAAAGCAAAUUAAAAAGUUCAAUAAAGAAAUAAGUUAACAUACUUUAUCACUGAAAGAGAAACAAGAAAUAAUCUCUAAAUAAUCUAAUGGUGAACAAAUGUGCAUACAUCAUCUGGAUUGUGUUAAAUACAGCACUGAUGUGAACUGAUGGAAACAGUGCAGUAUUUAUGUCUGAACUCAAAUUGAACCAUCUCCAGGCAAUAAUGGCAAAACUGAGAAGGAAUCUUGAUACUGAGCUCCAAGAAUACUUUACAGUAUCUUUAAUGUGGGUCUGCUCUAGACUAAAUAACAGGUGUAUCCAAUCUUUCUAUUCUGCUGGAAAGACAGAGGAAAAAUGUAUUUGAAGAUGAGGUGACCAUUAGCAAUACUCAUAUGAUGGUAGCCCAAACCACUGGACAGGCAGUGAAAUAAUUUGUGGUGCAGUGCAUACAACGUAAUGUAUAACAAUGAAACAAAUGAGCAGAUAUUCUAUUUUCAUAAUGUCAGCUAUGGGUUAAAUGUUGACCAUGUAUUUAGAAAACAUCCUUGCUUUGAUUUAAAUAUCAUCAUGGAAUUGCUCAUAUACAUCACAAGAUAAUUUCUGCCCAUCAGAAUAUAAAGGGUUGAUGCUGGAUGGAGCUAACCAGUGCUACUGGUUGUUGUUCUAUAAUAUCCACCCAAGGUAUCUCAGAUGGUUCUAGUGAACAUGACUUUAACAUAUACAAAAAAGCAAACUGAUGAUAGCACAUAAGUGAAACAGGAUAAUCGGCAACAGACUUCCAGGGCAACCAACAGUAUCUCCUUAACAGAGAAAGAAUUUAUUAUUAUGUCUAGAGAUCUAAUUUUAAUGCAUGUUUUAACCAAGCUUUUCAGUGAUAUUAUUACACUCUGCUGAAGCAGGCGGGACUCGAACCCAGGCCUCCUGGCUCAGAGAUAGGGCAAUUAUCAUUGUGUCCCAAGACACCCCCACUAGCAUCCAUUUUUGAAUUAUGUUCAUUAAUGGGAUGUGAGUGACACUGGCAAGACAGUGUUAAUUGCCUUUGAGAAGUUACUGUAAGCUGUCUUCUUAAAUUGCUGCAGUCCUUGGGCGUAACAGCAUAACAACGUCAACGAUGACUUCAGGAAGGGAUUGAUAGAUUACCCAGCCUACAGUGAAGGAUUUCCAAUAGAUUUCCAAGUCACGAUUAUGAGUGACUUGGAUGAGAAUUUGCAAGUGGUGGUGUUGCCAUGUCUCUACUGCCAUUGUCUUUUUGGGUGGUGGAAUUUAAAGAUUUGGGAAGUUCUGUCAAAGGAGUGUUAAUAAGUCACUAGAUGCAACUUCUGGUUGGCACUCACUAUUAGCAUUAAAAGGACGAUACACAAUUCAAUGAUGAGAUACAGUAUGUAGAAAUAAGAAAUUUAUUUUAAUUUACUAAAUAUGGACUGCUAACUCCAAAUACCUUUUCACAACAUUAGCAAAAAUAAUGCUCAGCUUCUACAUGACACAUUUUGGGGAUUUUAACCUCUGUGGGGAAUUAAUAACAUUCCUGUCAUGGAGACUUUGUGAGGGGCAUCUUUGAAUGGUCAGGCACGCCUAAAACAUACAGAAGAAAUGCCUAUUCAGCAUUAGGCAGGUAGGUUACAAAAUAGGCCAUUUGUCCAAAGCUCAUAUGCAAACAAUCUGACUUCAAAUGUGUUGUUAUUCAACUGGUUAAAGCCAGGAUGCUUUUGAGGGAUUGCAUUUCUAUCCCAAUACCAAUCAAGGAA